rnacentral:rRNA from 1 species
GACGAACGCUGGCGGCGUGCUUAACACAUGCAAGUCGAACGGAAAGGCCCUGCUUUUGUGGGGUGCUCGAGUGGCGAACGGGUGAGUAACACGUGAGUAACCUGCCCUUGACUUUGGGAUAACUUUAGGAAACUGGGGCUAAUACCGGAUAGGAGCUCCUGCUGCAUGGUGGGGGUUGGAAAGUUUCGGCGGUUGGGGGUGGACUCGCGGCUUAUCAGCUUGUUGGUGGGGUAGUGGCUUACCAAGGCUUUGACGGGUAGCCGGCCUGAGAGGGUGACCGGCCACAUUGGGACUGAGAUACGGCCCAGACUCCUACGGGAGGCAGCAGUGGGGAAUAUUGCACAAUGGGCGGAAGCCUGAUGCAGCAACGCCGCGUGCGGGAUGACGGCCUUCGGGUUGUAAACCGCUUUCGCCUGUGACGAAGCGUGAGUGACGGUAAUGGGUAAAGAAGCACCGGCUAACUACGUG